CUCAACGAGCACCCUGGAGGAGAAGAGGUUCUGCUGGAACAAGCUGGUGUAGAUGCAAGUGAAAGCUUUGAAGAUGUAGGACACUCUUCUGAUGCCAGAGAAAUGCUAAAGCAGUACUAUAUUGGUGAUAUCCAUCCGAGUGACCUUAAACCUGAAAAUGGUAGCAAGGACCCUUCAAAAAAUGAUACAUGCAAAAGGUUAGUAUCCCCUUAACAGAUUUCUGUAUGUUCAAGGUAAUGUCUGGCAAGAGACUCUUCCAUAAGUAUGUGUAUGUAACAUAACUUAUGAGCGCAGUUUGACAACUAAUUCUUUUUUGGCCCAAAUCAUUGCAAAUUCAGUUGUUCCUUGACAUUAGAAAAAUUAACUUUUACAGUUUCAGCCAUUUUGGAUAAUCUAAAAGGUUCAUGCCUUGAGUCAUUUUUUAAUCUUAUUGUGACAUAAAUUGGAAUCACACUCAGUAAGAGGCCAGGAUGCAUGGACAGGUAGCUACUAUUAGGUCAGCCUUUAGUCCCGAAGUUCAACCCAGCUACAUGAUUCUACUUAAAACUUAAUCUCAUUUACUUCUCACAACCACUCUGUAAGGUAAGUGCUAUUAUUACAUUUUGCAGGAGAAAAAAAUACUACGGUCAUAUUUAGGAAUUUGGGUUU
rnacentral:sRNA from 1 species